UACACGACCGUACCGCAAACCGACACUGGUGCGCGAGAUGAGUAUUCUAAGGCGCUUGAGAGAACUCAGGAGAAGGAACUCGGCAAAUUGACACCGUAACUUCGGAAGAAGGUGUGCCUUUAGUAGGUGAACCUGUACAAGGGGAGCCCAAUGAGGUUGCAAAAAAUCGGUGGCUGCGACUGUUUAAUAAAAACACAGCACUCUGCAAACACGAAAGUGGACGUAUACGGUGUGACGCCUGCCCGGUGCUGGAAGAUUAAAUGAUGGGGUGCAAGCUCUGAUUGAAGUCCCAGUAAACGGCGGCCGUAACAAUAACGGUCCUAAGGUAGCGAAAUUCCUUGUCGGGUAAGUUCCGACCUGCACGAAUGGCGUAACGAUGGCCACACUGCCUCCUCCUGAGACUCAGCGAAGUUGAAAUGUUUGUGAUGAUGCAAUCUCCCCGCGGAAAGACGGAAAGACCCCAUGAACCUUUACUGUAGCUUUGUAUUGGACUUUGAACAGAUCUGUGUAGGAUAGGUGGGAGGCUUUGAAGUGUGGUCGCUAGAUCGCAUGGAGCCAACGUUGAAAUACCACCCUGGUGUGUUUGAGGUUCUAACCUAGGCCCGUAAUCCGGGUCGGGGACAGUGCAUGGUAGGCAGUUUGACUGGGGCGGUCUCCUCCCAAAGCGUAACGGAGGAGUUCGAAGGUACGCUAGGUACGGUCGGACAUCGUGCUAAUAGUGCAAUGGCAUAAGCGUGCUUAACUGCGAGACUGACAAGUCGAGCAGAUGCGAAAGCAGGACAUAGUGAUCCGGUGGUUCUGUAUGGAAGGGCCAUCGCUCAACGGAUAAAAGGUACUCUGGGGAUAACAGGCUGAUACCGCCCAAGAGUUCAUAUCGACGGCGGUGUUUGGCACCUCGAUGUCGGCUCAUCUCAUCCUGGGGCUGUAGCCGGUCCCAAGGGUAUGGCUGUUCGCCAUUUAAAGAGGUACGUGAGCUGGGUUUAAAACGUCGUGAGACAGUUUGGUCCCUAUCUUCCGUGGGCGCUGCAGAUUUGAGGAAGCCUGCUCCUAGUACGAGAGGACCGGAGUGGACACACCUCUGGUGUAUCGGUUGUCACGCCAGUGGCAUUGCCGAGUAGCUAUGUGUGGAAGAGAUAACCGCUGAAAGCAUCUAAGCGGGAAACUCGUUUCAAGAUGAGAUCUGCCGGGGCCUUGAGCCCCCUAAAGAGUCGUUCAAGACCAGGACGUUGAUAGGUCGGGUGUGGAAGCGCAGUAAUGCGUUAAGCUAACCGAUACUAAUUGCUCGUGCGGCUUGAUC
rnacentral:rRNA from 1 species